rnacentral:rRNA from 1 species
UCGUCACACUAUCAUUAACUGAAUCCAUAGGUUAAUGAGGCGAACCGGGGGAACUGAAACAUCUAAGUACCCCGAGGAAAAGAAAUCAACCGAGAUUCCCCCAGUAGCGGCGAGCGAACGGGGAGGAGCCCAGAGCCUGAAUCAGCAUGUGUGUUAGUGGAAGCGUCUGGAAAGGCGCGCGAUACAGGGUGACAGCCCCGUACACAAAAGCGCAUGUGCUGUGAGCUCGAUGAGUAGGGCGGGACACGUGGUAUCCUGUCUGAAUAUGGGGGGACCAUCCUCCAAGGCUAAAUACUCCUGACUGACCGAUAGUGAACCAGUACCGUGAGGGAAAGGCGAAAAGAACCCCGGCGAGGGGAGUGAAAAAGAACCUGAAACCGUGUACGUACAAGCAGUGGGAGCACCCUUUGGGUGUGACUGCGUACCUUUUGUAUAAUGGGUCAGCGACUUAUAUUCUGUAGCAAGGUUAACCGAAUAGGGGAGCCGGAGGGAAACCGAGUCUUAAUUGGGCGUUAAGUUGCAGGGUAUAGACCCGAAACCCGGUGAUCUAGCCAUGGGCAGGUUGAAGGUUGGGUAACACUAACUGGAGGACCGAACCGACUAAUGUUGAAAAAUUAGCGGAUGACCUGUGGCUGGGGGUGAAAGGCCAAUCAAACCGGGAGAUAGCUGGUUCUCCCCGAAAGCUAUUUAGGUAGCGCCUCGUGAAUUCAUCUCCGGGGGUAGAGCACUGUUUCGGCUAGGGGGCCAUCCCGGCUUACCAACCCGAUGCAAACUGCGAAUACCGGAGAAUGUUAUCACGGGAGACACACGGCGGGUGCUAACGUCCGUCGUGAAGAGGGAAACAACCCAGACCGCCAGCUAAGGUCCCAAAGUCAUGGUUAAGUGGGAAACGAUGUGGGAAGGCCCAGACAGCCAGGAUGUUGGCUUAGAAGCAGCCAUCAUUUAAAGAAAGCGUAAUAGCUCACUGGUCGAGUCGGCCUGCGCGGAAGAUGUAACGGGGCUAAACCAUG